AUUGAACGCUGGCGGAAUGCUUUACACAUGCAAGUCGAACGGCAGCACGGACUUCGGUCUGGUGGCGAGUGGCGAACGGGUGAGUAAUGUAUCGGAACGUGCCCAGUCGUGGGGGAUAACGUAGUGAAAAUUACGCUAAUACCGCAUACGAUCUAUGGAUGAAAGCGGGGGAUCGCAAGACCUCGCGCGAUUGGAGCGGCCGAUACCAGAUUAGGUAGUUGGUGGGGUAAAGGCCCACCAAGCCAACGAUCUGUAGCUGGUCUGAGAGGACGACCAGCCACACUGGAACUGGGACACGGUCCAGACUCCUACGGGAGGCAGCAGUGGGGAAUUUUGGACAAUGGGCGAAAGCCUGAUCCGGCCAUUCCGCGCGCAGGAUGAAGGCCCUCGGGUUGUAAACUGCUUUUGUACAGAACGAAAAGGUUUCUACUAAUACUAGGAGCUCAUGACGGUACUGUAAGAAUAAGCACCGGCUAACUACGUGCCAGCCGCCGCCGUAA
rnacentral:rRNA from 1 species